UACUGUGGCGCGGAGCCUUUCUUCUGUUGAAGCGUUACAGGAGAUCUGUCUCGCAUCAGUGCUGUUUGAUGAGGUCUGCUGGUGGUUGGCAUAAUGGACUGAGGAACCAUUAUGAAUGCUGUCGUCUGCAUAGAAGUGGAUCAGAGAAUUACCAGCAGCAAGAGCGACAUCAUUGAUGUAUACAGAGAAGAGAGUCGGCCCAAGAAUUGAACCCUGUGGCACCCCCAUAGAGACUGACAGUGGUCCGGACAACAGACCCUCUGAUUUGACACACUGAACUCUAUCAGAGAAGUAGUUGGUGAACCAGGCGCGGCAAACAUUUGAGAAAUAUUGAUAGAACCCUCACAAAAACACAUUGAACAACUGCGAAAAGAAAUGGCUGAGGAUAUACAAAAAAGUCUGAGUUCAACAAGGCCAACAACUGCUUCAUGUGUGCCACUGAUAAAGAACCUGGAUGAGGCCCAAAGACUGACUGGAUUGAAUGUUAUGCAUGACAACGGUGGUUCCAUGUGCUGUGUCUAGGAAUGAAGACAAGAGUUCAGAGUGAAGAGCACAAACUGGAAGUGAUGUCUUUGUUGUUGAAAAUGUAUGCUAUACCCCAUCCACACUGAAGAGGCUCGGAAAUGUACAUCAACCAGGGAUAAAGAGAAAGUGAACACUGAAAUGUUUUGUACUUAUUUGAAGUAAAGUGUCUGACAUAUUGUAGACUUUUAAUCUUUUCCAACUUCUGUUUAAUUUGUCAAUAUCCCAUUUUUCUUCAUUGAUUUUCUGGCCACCAUGUUACAUGUUCAGUAUUUGUAUUGACCAGCAAACCCACCUUACUCCCCAUCCCGGCUUUGGACAAUUAAUAAAACAUGCCUCUCGUACUUUGCCCUUUAUGGUUGAUAUUAACGAUGAGAGACAGAUAAUAUCUCCCUAUUGUGUACCACUGUUAAAUAAAGGAAAAAUAUGUACUUAGAACUACCAAUUAUUAUAGAUAAAUAUUAAAGAAAUGGGUUAACACUGGACUGAACCCCCUAAAUUGUCAAAGUAAUAUCAAUGUACAA